UUCGAAGAACAGUCGAGACUGAUGUCCCC
rnacentral:piRNA from 1 species